GACGAACGCUGGCGGUGUGCUUAACACAUGCAAGUCGAACGGUAAGGCCCUUUCGGGGGUACACGAGUGGCGAACGGGUGAGUAACACGUGAGUAACCUGCCCUCAUCUCUGGGAUAACAGUCGGAAACGGUUGCUAAUACUGGAUAUGAGCUUGCAAGGCAUCUUGUGGGUUGGAAAGAUUUUUUUUGGUUGGGGAUGGACUCGCGGCCUAUCAGCUUGUUGGUGAGGUAGUGGCUCACCAAGGCUUCGACGGGUAGCCGGCCUGAGAGGGCGACCGGCCACAUUGGGAAGGAGAUACGGCCCAAACUCCUACGGGAGGCAGCAGUGGGGAAUAUGGCACAAUGGACGGAAGUCUGAUGCAGCAACGCCGCGUGCGGGAUGACGGCCUUCGGGUUGUAAACCGCUUUCAAUUGUGACGAAGCUUUUUUGUGACGGUAGCAGUAGAAGAAGCACCGGCUAACUACGUG
rnacentral:rRNA from 1 species